UACGAAGGGGGCUAGCGUUGCUCGGAAUCACUGGGCGUAAAGCGCACGUAGGCGGACUCUUAAGUCGGGGGUGAAAUCCUGGAGCUCAACUCCAGAACUGCCUUCGAUACUGGGAGUCUUGAGUUCGGGAGAGGUGAGUGGAACUGCGAGUGUAGAGGUGAAAUUCGUAGAUAUUCGCAAGAACACCAGUGGCGAAGGCGGCUCACUGGCCCGGUACUGACGCUGAGGCACGAAAGCGUGGGGAGCAAACAGG
rnacentral:rRNA from 1 species